rnacentral:rRNA from 1 species
AACGAACGCUGGCGGCAUGCCUAACACAUGCCAGUCGAACGAAGGCUUCGGCCUUAGUGGCGCACGGGUGCGUAACGCGUGGGAAUCUGCCCUUAGGUUCGGAAUAACAGUUAGAAAUGACUGCUAAUACCGGAUGAUGACGUAAGUCCAAAGAUUUAUCGCCUGAGGAUGAGCCCGCGUAGGAUUAGCUAGUUGGUGUGGUAAAGGCGCACCAAGGCGACGAUCCUUAGCUGGUCUGAGAGGAUGAUCAGCCACACUGGGACUGAGACACGGCCCAGACUCCUACGGGAGGCGGCAGUGGGGAAUAUUGGACAAUGGGCGCAAGCCUGAUCCAGCAAUGCCGCGUGAGUGAUGAAGGCCUUAGGGUUGUAAAGCUCUUUUACCCGUGAUGAUAAUGACAGUAGCGGGAGAAUAAGCCCCGGCUAACUCCGUG